UNGUAGGCGGCUGGUCGCGUCUGUCGUGAAAUCNUCUGGCUUAACUGAGGGCUUGCGGUGGGUACGGNCCGGCUUGAGUGCGGUAGGGGAGACUGGAACUCCUGGUGUAGCGGUGGAAUGCGCAGAUAUCAGGAAGAACACCGGUGGCGAAGGCGGGUCUCUGGGCCGUUACUGACGCUGAGGAGCGAAAGCGUGGGGAGCGAACAGGAUUAGAUACCCUGGUAGUCCACGCCGUAAACGUUGGGCACUAGGUGUGGGGGGCCUUUUCCGGNUCUUCCGCGCCGUAGCUAACGCAUUAAGUGCCCCGCCUGGGGAGUACGGCCGCAAGGCUAAAACUCAAAGGAAUUGACGGGGGCCCGCACAAGCGGCGGAGCAUGCGGAUUAAUUCGAUGCAACGCGAAGAACCUUACCAAGGCUUGACAUGUGCCGGUCUGCUCCGGAGACGGGGUUUCCUCCUUUGUGGGGGCUGGUUCACAGGUGGUGCAUGGUUGUCGUCAGCUCGUGUCGUGAGAUGUUGGGUUAAGUCCCGCAACGAGCGCAACCCUUGUCUCGUGUUGCCAGCACGUUGUGGUGGGGACUCGCGGGAGACUGCCGGGGUCAACUCGGAGGAAGGUGGGGAUGACGUCAAAUCAUCAUGCCCCUUAUGUCUUGGGCUUCACGCAUGCUACAAUGGCCGGUACAGAGGGCUGCGAUACCGUGAGGUGGAGCGAAUCCCUUAAAGCCGGUCUCAGUUCGGAUCGGUGUCUG
rnacentral:rRNA from 1 species